rnacentral:rRNA from 1 species
GAUGAACGCUGGCGGCGUGCCUAAUACAUGCAAGUCGAGCGAACAGACGAGGAGCUUGCUCCUCUGACGUUAGCGGCGGACGGGUGAGUAACACGUGGAUAACCUACCUAUAAGACUGGGAUAACUUCGGGAAACCGGAGCUAAUACCGGAUAAUAUAUUGAACCGCAUGGUUCAAUAGUGAAAGACGGUUUUGCUGUCACUUAUAGAUGGAUCCGCGCCGCAUUAGCUAGUUGGUAAGGUAACGGCUUACCAAGGCAACGAUGCGUAGCCGACCUGAGAGGGUGAACGGCCACACUGGAACUGAGACACGGUCCAGACUCCUACGGGAGGCAGCAGUAGGGAAUCUUCCGCAAUGGGCGAAAGCCUGACGGAGCAACGCCGCGUGAGUGAUGAAGGUCUUCGGAUCGUAAAACUCUGUUAUUAGGGAAGAACAAAUGUGUAAGUAACUAUGCACGUCUCGACGGUACCUAAUCAGAAAGCCACGGCUAACUACGUG